rnacentral:lncRNA from 1 species
UUUUCAGUUUAUAUGUCAUAUUUAUUUAUUACUUUUAUAUUUUAACAAAAUGGGUGGUUUAGUGCAGAUAAGGAAUUAAAUUCCCAGAUAAGACAAGGACAAGGAGAAAAGCUUUCAUAUAUGUGCUGGAUACAGAACAGACACGGCACGUGGAUAAUAACGGACAGGGCAGGGACGAGGUGGGAAAACCCACACUGUUGUCAUCUCUAAACGAAUUGCAUAAACUUGUUAUGUCAAAUUUUGAGAGCCCCAGGGUAACUUAGCUAAUUUAGUUAGUGUUCAGGAACAGGGCCGAGGUUGAGUAGUAAUCUCAAUCAAGAUAGGAUAGUAUUUGCUAGUACAUGACUAGAUGACCGUAAAGGUCAUGAGAAGACAACCAAAUGACUUUGAGGGUCACACAGCAACAACCAAGAGGACCCAGAAAUUGCAAAAAACAUGGCCUAAAGGCUGUGAAGGCCUAGCAAUCAAGCUAGAUACCUGCCAGAUCAAAAUAUGGUUAUUCAGUAACUGGUAUAUGACAUAACAAUGUUUUCCAACAUUUUUUUGCUGAGGUCGGACAGUGUUCUAGCAGUUUCCAAUGACAGUGUAGUAAAGCUUUGGAAGUUUAUUGGGGUAGUAACAAUGUUUUCCAACAUUUUUUUGCUGAGGUUGGACAGUGUUCUAGCAGUUUCCAAUGACAGUGUA